rnacentral:rRNA from 1 species
GACGUGGGGGGCCAGCGUUGCUCGGAAUUACUGGGCGUAAAGGGUUCGUAGGCGGUGUGGCAAGUCGGAAGUGAAAUCUCCAGGCUUAACUUGGAGGCUGCUCCCGAAACUGCCAUGCUAGAGUGCGGGAGAGGCGAGUGGAAUUGCAGGUGUAGCGGUGAAAUGCGUAGAUAUCAGGAGGAACACCUGUGGUGUAGACGGCUUACUGGACCGCAACUGACGCUGAGACACGAAAGCGUGGGUAGCAAACAGG